UACCAGCAACCCGAGUGGUCGGGACGAUUAUUGGGCCUAAAGCAUCCGUAGCCGGUUUUACAAGUCCUCCGUUAAAUCCAGCUGCUUAACAGAUGGGCUGCGGAGGAUACUAUAAGACUAGGAGGCAGGAGAGGCAAGCGGUACUCAGUGGGUAGGGGUAAAAUCCGUUGAUCCAUUGAAGACCACCAGUGGCGAAGGCGGCUUGCCAGAAUGCGCUCGACGGUGAGGGAUGAAAGCUGGGGGAGCAAACCGG
rnacentral:rRNA from 1 species